rnacentral:rRNA from 1 species
GCGCAGGUCGUUGGGUGUUUAGAAUACCCGAAGGCUUAGUGAAAGCAAACGGCAUAGCUCGGCUGUGUCAUAGUGGCAAGAUCUUGUUUUUGUUGAACAAGCGCAUUGCCAGCCCGCACUAUGGUUACGUACCUUGGGCGGAGUUAGAGCGCACACGUUGAGACCCGAAAGAUGGUGAACUAUGCCUGUGCAGGAUGAAGUCAGGGGAAACUCUGAUGGAAGUCCGUAGCGAUUCUGACGUGCAAAUCGAUCGUCUGACAUGGGUAUAGGGGCGAAAGACUAAUCGAACCAUCUAAUAGCUGGUUCCCUCCGAAGUUUCCCUCAGGAUAGCUGGCGCAUGUUUUCGGCAGUCUCUCCCGGUAAAGCGAAUGAUUAGAAGUCUUGGGACCGAAACGGUCUCAANNNNNNNNNNNNNNCUUAUUCUCAAACUUUAAAUGGGUGAGAAGUCUGGCUUGCUUAAUUGAAGUCCGGACCGUUAUUCGUUUCGAAUAAUGAUAUUGGAUGCCUAUGUGCCAAGUGGGCCAUUUUUGGUAAGCAGAACUGGCGCUGUGGGAUGAACCGAACGUCAAGUUACGGCGCCCGAGUGCGACGCUCAUCAGACCCCACAAAAGGUGUUGGUUGCUAUAGACAGCAG